UGGUCGUCGGGUGUUUGAACCUUAAU
rnacentral:sRNA from 1 species